UUGAAACAACUUUUCUCGUAUAAUCACCGAAGUUAAGCAACGUCAAGCCUGGUCAGUACCUUAAUGGGUAACCGCUUGGGAAUACCAGGUGCUGUAA